ensembl:antisense Tmem51os1 Tmem51 opposite strand 1
NNNNNNNNNNNNNNACCCGGGCCCUACCGUGCUCUUUUCGGCGCGAGGACGCAGACUCACCUCGAAGGCAAAGGGCCACGCUUGGUCUCUGUCCGCAGGCCCGGGGCUGGGGGUUUCGCGACACCCCCACCCCAGGCAAUCGCGGGCCGCGGAGUCGGAGCCGGGGAGCACAGCGUGGAGAGGGCGCGCAGCCCGGGGACCUCUGUGGUGAUCAGCCAGCGCGGCCCAAAGCGGCGAGAGCAGGAGGGAGGGACCGAGGGCGCCCGCAGGAGGCACCGCCCACCUGCCCACCCUGCGCCCUACGCCACCAGGCGGGGACCCGGACCCUGGGGCGGAGCAGGCUGGAGGGCCUGGCCCUGCAACGCAGUGCAGGGUCCCGGACCUCCUACUCUGAGGCUGGGGAAUGGCUGUCUACUGGGGCACUUGAGGGAUAAUGGGAGCUGGGAGUCCCUGUUCGGCGACCUCACCUGGCUGUAAACUCACCUUCUUGUGCGCGCAGGCCGCCGCUCCUGCGGCUCCAGGCAGCCAAGCCCAAUGAUGGGCGGAGGAGGGAAGGAGGAAGGAAGGGAAGUUUUCCCAGCCUCUCAGCUCACGCUUUCGGUCAGCUUCCCACUCUCUGGUGUCCCGGACGCCCUCCGGAUCGCCACUUCGAGCCCUAGUCUAGCUCGGGAGUGUUCCCGUAAGGGGCGCGUUCCCAGCUUGGCAGAAAACUUUCCAGCGAAUCACAGGCUGACUUCUCCCUCCGCCUGGAGCCGGGGAGGGUGAUCUGAACUGAGUGGCGCCUCACCUGGCUGGAAGUUUGCCUGGGAACCCCACGACUCCAGGCACAGAUCUAUGUGCCCUGCCAGCUCUGAAUCUCGACCUGGGUGGCUUCGUGGGUGCGCAGCCAGCUCUUUGAAGUUCAAGGCUUGAGAAGUCCCUGGGCAGCCGGGUGUCAGAGGAUUCGGCUGGGGUUAAAAGGCGCCUCCUACUGGUGUGUGUGUGUGUGUGUGUGUGUGUGUGUGUGUGUGAGAGANNNNNNNNNNNNNNNNUCCCUCAACCUCUCCACCCCGCACAGCCCGGGCCUAUAGUUUGCAUUUCACCCUGACAGACUCGAGGCAGGUCAUUCAGAGAGUCCCAGAGGUGGAAGCAAGGAAUACUGGUACUUUUCCAUGCCGGGAUUCAGCUCUAGACCUGCCCCUACACCGCAUCUAUCUAGCUGGGCAGGUCGGUCUCUUCCAAGCUGGGAGAGACCAAGGACUUAACAGCCAAAGCUGAGCUGAGAGGAAAACUAAAAGAGUCGCAUCGCACACUGUCCAACCUUCUGCCUUAAUGUGUUUCUUUUUUCUUACCUCUUCCCACCCAGGAGCUGCCUGCCUCCUUAUCCCACCACGCUGCUACCUCACCAGGACCGGAGGGGAGGCCUCAAAAAUGAGAAGAUUCUAUUCUUGGAUCUGCCAGCACUGGGGCUGUCUCUGCAGCCCUGGCUCGGAAUACCCACACCUAGAAUUUCCAAGAGCUGGCAGGAUAAUGGGCGCCCAAAGCUGUUCACAUCUCAAGUCUCCGGAACCCAGGACCUUAGGUGGUAGACUGCAGGUAUGAUCAAGCUGUGAAUCUGGAGAUCAGGGUCACCCAAAGAGGUCACAGGGGCUUUUGUCAGAGGAAGGUAGGAGGGUCGGUCGUAUCUGAGAUGUUGCAGGGGAAGAAGGGGUCAGAGAAAGCUUCUGAAAGGGAUCCUGUGACAGCCAAGGGAUGUUAGCAGCCUAGAAAAGCUGGAAAUGAUAGGAAUAGAUUAUGUGGUAGAAAGCCCAGAAGGGACUUCCCACCUGCUAAGGGUCCUCACACUUGUUACUGAUUUUAGCCUGGGAGAAGCUGCUACCUGACCUCCAAAACUGUAACCUUGUUUCUCUAAGCCCUGCAGCAGUUCCUGGCAAUUUGUUACAGUAGCCACGGGGAAUGGAUACAUCUAGCCUCUCAGCUGUAUAGGCCAAUGCUGAUUUCACCAGCCCUUCUGCUGACAGUCCACUGGAAAGCUCUUCUCUCAAGAGACACCAGGAUAUAGCCUGAUUCACGGAUUUAGAAAGAGGAUAAGAUUUCAUCAGAUCUGUCUUUAUUGUUUUUUUUUUUUUUUUGGCUUCUCUGCCAUUUUGAACUGUGUGACCUUGGGAAAAUGUCUUAUUCUCUCUGGGCCUCAGUUUCUUUCUUUAAAUGUAAAAACAGUGAUGCUGGCUAGGUACACAGGAGGCAGAUGCCUAUGGCCCCAGAUACUUCAGAUGCUGAGGCAGGAGGAUGGCACAUUUGAGGUCACCUUGGCAACCUUCUUUUGUUAUCAGUGAGUGUCGAAACGUGGGCCUCAUGUAUGGGAACUGAGUACUUUUCCAUUACACUGCAUCUCCAGACCUAGCUUGAGUAACUUAAUGAAACUCUCUCCAAAAACAACAAGCUAAUUAAGUUAAAUAAGUCUUAAAAUAGGGUCUGAAGAUGUAGCUCAGUGGUAGAGUGUUUGCCCUACCUGUGUUUCUUCCCAGCAGGGCAUAAGCCUCAGUGGGGUGGCACACUCUUGAAAUCCUAGCACUAAGGAGGUGGAGGCAGGAGGAUCAGAACUGCAAGUCAUCCUUGUGUAUACAGCUAAAUUUGAGGCCAGCCUGGGCUACGCGUGAUACCCUGUCUCGUAUUGACGAUUACAAUAAUGAAAUGCGUAGCCUACGUGUGGCCCCGGGUCCCAUCCUCAGCACAUCGAGAAGAAGACAGAAUAAAAAUAGUGAUGCUAAGAAUACUCUCCUUUGCAGGAUCAAUAUGAGUAUCAGAGGCAGCAGCAGGAUGCGAUGCUCUGUGUGAGCCCCCAUGACAUCUGAACUGCAGUUGCUGAGACCUGAACUGCCCACUCGGGAACACAGGACUCUUUAGAGCGGGCUUGUCUGAUGGACCAUUCUUGAACUCUGGACACGUGAUGCUUGAAAAUGAGUGUCUAGCGGGGCUUGGUGAUGCACGCAGGUAACCCCAGUGCCUUUGGGAACUGAGGCAGGGGGAUCAGAAGAUCAGGGUCACCCUUUUUGAGGAUAACUUUGUGUGGUACACACACCAAAAAUCAAAA